ACAGAAACCUCUCGCUUCUGCCAAAAAAUGUCCCAAACAAUGGAACCUCGUCGACAAGUACAACCUUGGAUCCUCCGACAAAGGAAGAACCAUCUACCACAAGACAUCGUACUCAACAUUCAGGUGCAAUGAGCGCAUACAACUUGCUCGGCCAGCAUGGCUAGAUCAUCCAAUGGUGCCACAAUUGAGUUAUCUGAGGUAUCUUGAAUCCCAGCUUCAGAUAUAUCUCCAGAUCCUUGAGUCUCUAAGCCUUGUUGAUUCCGAGUUUGAAGAAUCGAUCCAGAUGCUCUAAUGGAGUGUUCAAGUUAGAUAGGAUUUCCAGGGUGUUGCAGUCAACCAUACGAAAUUCACAGCACACCAUACCAAGAGGUGGCCAGAAUUAAGUAAUAGGAACUUGUGCCAAUACAGAUAAUUGUACCUGCCCAGAAACUGAAGCUGAAGGCAGCGGCAUUAUAGCAGCCCCUCCUCCAACUGGUGUAGUUGAUGUAGUUGUAGUUGUUGCAGGACCAUGUGGUGGGGUGUGCCUGCCACCAUCUCCUCCUCUAUAUGAAGAUUUCCAGAUCUAGGAUUUGAGGAUCGAAUGGACUGUGUAAUAUUGAAUUUGUUAAAUGUUUUA